rnacentral:rRNA from 1 species
AGUGAACGCUGGCGGCAGGCCUAACACAUGCAAGUCGAGCGGCAGCGCGGGGGCAACCCUGGCGGCGAGCGGCGGACGGGUGAGGAAUUCGUCGGAAUCUGCCUGUUUGUGGGGGAUAACGUAGGGAAACUUACGCUAAUACCGCAUACGUCCUACGGGAGAAAGUGGGGGACCGCAAGGCCUCACGCAGAAAGAUGAGCCGACGACCGAUUAGCUAGUUGGUGGGGUAAAGGCCCACCAAGGCGACGAUCGGUAGCUGGUCUGAGAGGAUGAUCAGCCACACUGGAACUGAGACACGGCCCAGACUCCUACGGGAGGCAGCAGUGGGGAAUAUUGGACAAUGGGCGCAAGCCUGAUCCAGCCAUGCCGCGUGUGUGAAGAAGGCCUUCGGGUUGUAAAGCACUUUUGUCCGGAAAGAAAUCCCUGGAGCUAAUACCUUCGGGGGAUGACGGUACCGGAAGAAUAAGCACCGGCUAACUUCGUG